rnacentral:snRNA from 1 species
AUACUUACCUGACGCGAGAGGCACCUUGAUCAACUAGGAGGUCCUCUCAGGAUGAUGCCCUUUCAUUGCACUUCGACUGGGUUGACUCCUGCGAUUACCCCUAAUGUGGGUAACUCGAGCGUAUAAUUUCUGGUAGUGGGGACCUGCGUUCGCGCUCGUCCCCU